CGCUGGCGGCGUGCCUAAUACAUGCAAGUCGUACGCUUCUUUUUCCACCGGAGCUUGCUCCACCGGAAAAAGAAGAGUGGCGAACGGGUGAGUAACACGUGGGUAACCUGCCCAUCAGAAGGGGAUAACACUUGGAAACAGGUGCUAAUACCGUAUAACAAUCGAAACCGCAUGGUUUUGAUUUGAAAGGCGCUUUCGGGUGUCGCUGAUGGAUGGACCCGCGGUGCAUUAGCUAGUUGGUGAGGUAACGGCUCACCAAGGCCACGAUGCAUAGCCGACCUGAGAGGGUGAUCGGCCACAUUGGGACUGAGACACGGCCCAAACUCCUACGGGAGGCAGCAGUAGGGAAUCUUCGGCAAUGGACGAAAGUCUGACCGAGCAACGCCGCGUGAGUGAAGAAGGUUUUCGGAUCGUAAAACUCUGUUGUUAGAGAAGAACAAGGAUGAGAGUAACUGUUCAUCCCUUGACGGUAUCUAACCAGAAAGCCACGGCUAACUACGUGCCAGCAGCCGCGGUAAUACGUAGGUGGCAAGCGUUGUCCGGAUUUAUUGGGCGUAAAGCGAGCGCAGGCGGUUUCUUAAGUCUGAUGUGAAAGCCCCCGGCUCAACCGGGGAGGGUCAUUGGAAACUGGGAGACUUGAGUGCAGAAGAGGAGAGUGGAAUUCCAUGUGUAGCGGUGAAAUGCGUAGAUAUAUGGAGGAACACCAGUGGCGAAGGCGGCUCUCUGGUCUGUAACUGACGCUGAGGCUCGAAAGCGUGGGGAGCAAACAGGAUUAGAUACCCUGGUAGUCCACGCCGUAAACGAUGAGUGCUAAGUGUUGGAGGGUUUCCGCCCUUCAGUGCUGCAGCUAACGCAUUAAGCACUCCGCCUGGGGAGUACGACCGCAAGGUUGAAACUCAAAGGAAUUGACGGGGGCCCGCACAAGCGGUGGAGCAUGUGGUUUAAUUCGAAGCAACGCGAAGAACCUUACCAGGUCUUGACAUCCUUUGACCACUCUAGAGAUAGAGCUUCCCCUUCGGGGGCAAAGUGACAGGUGGUGCAUGGUUGUCGUCAGCUCGUGUCGUGAGAUGUUGGGUUAAGUCCCGCAACGAGCGCAACCCUUAUUGUUAGUUGCCAUCAUUCAGUUGGGCACUCUAGCAAGACUGCCGGUGACAAACCGGAGGAAGGUGGGGAUGACGUCAAAUCAUCAUGCCCCUUAUGACCUGGGCUACACACGUGCUACAAUGGGAAGUACAACGAGUCGCGAAGUCGCGAGGCUAAGCUAAUCUCUUAAAGCUUCUCUCAGUUCGGAUUGUAGGCUGCAACUCGCCUACAUGAAGCCGGAAUCGCUAGUAAUCGCGGAUCAGCACGCCGCGGUGAAUACGUUCCCGGGCCUUGUACACACCGCCCGUCACACCACGAGAGUUUGUAACACCCGAAGUCGGUGAGGUAACCUUUUGGAGCCAGCCGCCUAAGGUGGGAUAGAUGAUUGGGG
rnacentral:rRNA from 1 species